rnacentral:rRNA from 1 species
UAGGGAAUAUUGCAAAAUGGGCGAAAGCCCGAUGCAGCAACGCCGCGUGGGCAAUGAAGGCCUUCGGGUCGGAAAGCCCUUUUUGAGGGGAUGAGGAAGGACAGUACCCUCAGAAUCAGCCUCGGCUAACUACGUGCCAGCAGCCGCGGUAAAACGUAGGAGGCGAGCGUUAUCCGGAUUUACUGGGCGUAAAGCGAGUGCAGGCGGAUUGGAGAGUUGGAUGUGAAAGCUCCCGGCUUAACUGGGAGAGGUCGUUCAAUACUUCCAGUCUUGAGUGCAGUAGAGGGAAGUGGAAUUCCGGGUGUAGUGGUGAAAUGCGUAGAUAUCCGGAGGAACACCAGUGGCGAAAGCGGCUUCCUGGACUGUAACUGACGCUCAGACGCGAAAGCUAGGGUAGCAAACG